AUACUUAGUACGGCGAGUGAAGCGGUAAAAGCUCAAAUUUGAAAUCUGGUACUUUCAGUGCCCGAGUUGUAAUUUGUAGAAUUUGUCUUUGAUUAGGUCCUUGUCUAUGUUCCUUGGAACAGGACGUCAUAGAGGGUGAGAAUCCCGUUUGGCGAGGAUACCUUUUCUCUGUAAGACUUUUUCGAAGAGUCGAGUUGUUUGGGAAUGCAGCUCAAAGUGGGUGGUAAAUUCCAUCUAAAGCUAAAUAUUGGCGAGAGACCGAUAGCGAACAAGUACAGUGAUGGAAAGAUGAAAAGAACUUUGAAAAGAGAGUGAAAAAGUACGUGAAAUUGUUGAAAGGGAAGGGCAUUUGAUCAGACAUGGUGUUUUUUGCAUGCACUCGCCUCUCGUGGGCUUGGGCCUCUCAAAAAUUUCACUGGGCCAACAUCAAUUCUGGCAGCAGGAUAAAUCAUUAAGAAUGUAGCUACUUCGGUAGUGUUAUAGCUUUUUGGAAUACUGUUAGCCGGGAUUGAGGACUGCGCUUCGGCAAGGAUGUUGGCAUAAUGGUUAAAUGCCGCCCGUCUUGAAACACGGACC
rnacentral:rRNA from 1 species